UAGGGAAUCUUCGGCAAUGGGGGCAACCCUGACCGAGCAACGCCGCGUGAGUGAAGAAGGUUAUCGGAUCGUAAAGCUCUGUUGUAAGAGAAGAACGUGUGUGAGAGUGGAAAGUUCACACAGUGACGGUAACUUACCAGAAAGGGACGGCUGACUACGUGCCAGCAGCCGCGGUAAUACGUAGGUCCCGAGCGUUGUCCGGAUUUAUUGGGCGUAAAGCGAGCGCAGGCGGUUUAAUAAGUCUGAAGUUAAAGGCAGUGGCUUAACCAUUGUUCGCUUUGGCAACUGUUAAACUUGAGUGCAGAAGGGGAGAGUGGAAUUCCAUGUGUAGCGGUGAAAUGCGUAGAUAUAUGGAGGAACACCGGUGGAGAAGGCGGCUCUCUGGUCUGUAACUGACGCUGAGGCUCGAAAGCGUGGGGAGCAAACAGG
rnacentral:rRNA from 1 species